UUGGAAUGGCUUGUGCGAGAGAUCUGAAGGGGCUAAAUUGCCGCCCUUGGGCGCCUCCCUCCCUUGCUGGGGAGUCGGAGCUAUGGCUGGACUAGGGCUUGUCUGGCGAGUCAUUGCCCCCCUCCCCCUACAGCGUGACCAUGUCCCUCUCAGAGCCCCCCCGUGACCCCACACCCUUCCUGCGGGGUGACCCUGCACCUUUCAUUGCUCCCCCCCAGGGUAACCCUGCACCCCUCAGAGCUCCCCCCCAGGGUGACCCUGCACCCCUCAGAGCCCCCCACAGGGUGACCCUGGACAUCCCCCACAGGGUGACCUUGCACCCCUGAGUGCCUGCCCACAGUGUGACCCCCCUGCACCUUUCAUUGCUCCCCCACAGGGUGACCCUGCGCCCCUCAGAGCCACCCACAGCGUGACCCUGGACAUCCCCCACAGGGUGACCUUGCACCCCUGAGUGCCUGCCCACAGUGUGACCCUCCUGCCCUUCCUGCAGGGGGACCCUGCAGCUUUCAUUGCUCCCCCACAGGGUGAUCCUUGAACCCUCUGCAUCCCUCAGUGUCCCUUUCACAGGGUGACCCUGCACCCAUAGUUCCCUCCCCCCCAGGGUGAUUGUGAACCCCCAGUUGCCUCCCUCACAAGGUGACUACUGUAUCCCCACAACUCCUAUGGAACAGCCCACCCAGGGAUUUGUUUGGGGGCUUGAGGAACCCAGCCCAGGGCCUUUCUCCGAGCAUUUUUCUCCUACUGUCUCUGACUGCUCCCUCUGUCCUGUGAGUUCAUAGCUGUCUCUUUGCCAUCCUCCCUUCCCUGAUUACCUCUGUUUCUCACCUAUCCUCUCAUGCUACCUGCCAAAUCAUUCACCCCUCCGUCUGCCUGGCCCACUCAAUCAUUCCGUCCACCCCUUUGCCACCCUGUACCCCUCAGUCACUGAGUUCCCCUGGUGCUUUGCUGUUGAUGGUUGCUUGUGUCAUCUCAUGCUACGGUCAUCAUCUCACCACCCGGCUUAGCACUGAGAUGAUCUUUUCAGGAUACCUAAGAUGACCCUUCAUAUCUUCCUUUCUACCUUCUCUGAUCUUAUGAUGGACUUACCUUUCUUCCCAUCUCCUCUGCUCUGAGUUUUUACCAUUAGGAGAUCAUUGACAACCUGUUGCUUUUGGGAAGGCACAGACUUUAAUCCAGAAAGGACUAAAACGUAAAUGUUUGAACAUGAGCAACUUUGAAAGGGAGUUCUCCAGGUGAAGGAGGAGUGAUUACAUGACCUUGG